rnacentral:rRNA from 1 species
UACGUAGGGGGCGAGCGUUGUCCGGAUUUAUUGGGCGUAAAGAGCUCGUAGGCGGCUUGGCAAGUCGGGUGUGAAACCUCCAGCUCAACCUGGAGACGCCACUCGAUACUGCCAUGGCUAGAGUCCGGUAGGGGACCACGGAAUUCCUGGUGCAGCGGUGAAAUGCGCAGAUAUCAGGAGGAACACCGGUGGCGAAGGCGGUGGUCUGGGCCGGCACUGACGCUGAGGAGCGAAAGCAUGGGGAGCGAACAGG